GGCAAACAGACUUUGAUCCGGAGAUCUCUGAAUGGGGGAACCCACCUAGGAUAACCUAGGUAUCUUGUACUGAAUCCAUAGGUGCAAGAGGCGAACCAGGGGAACUGAAACAUCUAAGUACCCUGAGGAAAAGAAAUCAACCGAGAUUCCCUUAGUAGUGGCGAGCGAACGGGGAUUAGCCCUUAAGCUUCAUUGAUUUUAGCGGAACGCUCUGGAAAGUGCGGCCAUAGUGGGUGAUAGCCCCGUACGCGAAAGGAUCUUUGAAGUGAAAUCGAGUAGGACGGAGCACGAGAAACUUUGUCUGAACAUGGGGGGACCAUCCUCCAAGGCUAAAUACUACUGACUGACCGAUAGUGAACCAGUACCGUGAGGGAAAGGCGAAAAGAACCCCGGAGAGGGGAGUGAAAUAGAACCUGAAACCGUAUGCGUACAAGCAGUGGGAGCCUACUUGUUAGGUGACUGCGUACCUUUUGUAUAAUGGGUCAGCGACUUAUAUUCAGUGGCAAGCUUAACCGUAUAGGGUAGGCGUAGCGAAAGCGAGUCUUAAUAGGGCGUUUAGUCGCUGGGUAUAGACCCGAAACCGGGCGAUCUAUCCAUGAGCAGGUUGAAGGUUAGGUAACACUGACUGGAGGACCGAACCCACUCCCGUUGAAAAGGUAGGGGAUGACUUGUGGAUCGGAGUGAAAGGCUAAUCAAGCUCGGAGAUAGCUGGUUCUCCUCGAAAGCUAUUUAGGUAGCGCCUCAUGUAUCACUCUGGGGGGUAGAGCACUGUUUCGGCUAGGGGGUCAUCCCGACUUACCAAACCGAUGCAAACUCCGAAUACCCAGAAGUGCCGAGCAUGGGAGACACACGGCGGGUGCUAACGUCCGUCGUGAAAAGGGAAACAACCCAGACCGCCAGCUAAGGUCCCAAAGUUGUGGUUAAGUGGUAAACGAUGUGGGAAGGCUUAGACAGCUAGGAGGUUGGCUUAGAAGCAGCCACCCUUUAAAGAAAGCGUAAUAGCUCACUAGUCGAGUCGGCCUGCGCGGAAGAUGUAACGGGGCUCAAACCACACACCGAAGCUGCGGGUGUCACGCAAGUGACGCGGUAGAGGAGCGUUCUGUAAGCCUGUGAAGGUGAGUUGAGAAGCUUGCUGGAGGUAUCAGAAGUGCGAAUGCUGACAUGAGUAACGACAAUGGGUGUGAAAAACACCCACGCCGAAAGACCAAGGGUUCCUGCGCAACGUUAAUCGACGCAGGGUUAGUCGGUUCCUAAGGCGAGGCUGAAAAGCGUAGUCGAUGGGAAACAGGUUAAUAUUCCUGUACUUCUGGUUACUGCGAUGGAGGGACGGAGAAGGCUAGGCCAGCUUGGCGUUGGUUGUCCAAGUUUAAGGUGGUAGGCUGAAAUCUUAGGUAAAUCCGGGGUUUCAAGGCCGAGAGCUGAUGACGAGUCGUCUUUUAGAUGACGAAGUGGUUGAUGCCAUGCUUCCAAGAAAAGCUUCUAAGCUUCAGGUAACCAGGAACCGUACCCCAAACCGACACAGGUGGUCGGGUAGAGAAUACCAAGGCGCUUGAGAGAACUCGGGUGAAGGAACUAGGCAAAAUGGCAC
rnacentral:rRNA from 1 species